AUUGAACGCUGGCGGCAGGCCUAACACAUGCAAGUCGAACGAGUGGCGGACGGGUGAGUAAUGCUUGGGAAUCUAGCUUAUGGAGGGGGAUAACUACGGGAAACGGUAGCUAAUACCGCGUACCAUAGGAUGAGCCCAGAUGGGAUUAGGUUGUUGGUGAGGUAAAGGCUCACCAAGCCGACGAUCUCUAGCUGGUCUGAGAGGAUGACCAGCCACACUGGAACUGAGACACGGUCCAGACUCCUACGGGAGGCAGCAGUGGGGAAUAUUGCGCAAUUGGGGCAACCUGACGCAGCCAUGCCGCGUGAAUGAAGAAGGCCUUCGGGUUGUAAAGUUCUUUCGGUAGCGAGGCGUUAACUACAGAAGAAGCACCGGCUAACUCCGUGCCAGCCGCCGCGGUAAUUC
rnacentral:rRNA from 1 species